rnacentral:rRNA from 1 species
GAUGAACGCUAGCGGCAGGCUUAAUACAUGCAAGUCGUGGGGCAGCACGAGUGUAGCAAUACAUUUGAUGGCGACCGGCAAACGGGUGCGGAACACGUACACAACCUUCCUAUAAGUGGGGAAUAGCCCAGAGAAAUUUGGAUUAAUACCCCGUAACAUAAUGAUGUGGCAUCACAUUAUUAUUAUAGCUUCGGCGCUUAUUGAUGGGUGUGCGGCUGAUUAGAUAGUUGGCGGGGUAACGGCCCACCAAGUCUACGAUCAGUAGCUGAUGUGAGAGCAUGAUGAGCCAGACGGGCACUGAGACACGGGCCCGACUCCUGCGGGAGGCAGCAGUAAGGAAUAUUGGUCAAUGGACGCAAGUCUGAACCAGCCAUGCCGCGUGAAGGAUUAAGGUCCUCUGGAUUGUAAACUUCUUUUAUCUGGGACGAAAAAAGGCGAUUCUUCGUCACUUGACGGUACCAGAUGAAUAAGCACCGGCUAACUCCGUGCCAGCCGCCGCAGUAACAC